GUACCCCCUUUUGUCCCCACUCCCUGCACCCUGCAUCCCACUCCAGCUCAGGAGGCAGCCUCUCUCAGCGGACGCUGAACCCCAGGAGCCCUGAGGGGGCGAGUUUGAGACUGAAAGGAUAAAUGACAUCAUGGAAGUCAACAGGCAGACUGGAGCAUCAGGAACAUGAAGAAGAGGGCAAUGAAUGCUGGUAUCAGUUGGAAGACAGAACUGUCAGAACAUGUUUUGACCAUGUUCUGACAAGCAUGAAUGAAUGGAGUUCUGGAAAACUACAUUUCUGUUACGCACAUUUAUAAAAUAAAGCGAGGCAUGUAUGUUGGGGCUAUGAGGUAUCUCUCAAGUUCACAGAUAAUCUUUAGUUACAAACCUCAAGAAUUACAUACUUGUAUUGAACAUAUUAAGCCAUAAUUUUCCAACUAAGGCUUUAAAUUAAUAUUUCAUGAAGGAGUGAAUACUACUGAAAUAUACUAAAAUAUUUAUUAAGCUAAAUUUUAGCUGUAACUUUGUGUCAUGAUAGUCUUUACUUAAAUG